AGUGAACGCUGGCGGUAGGCCUAACACAUGCAAGUCGAACGGCAGCACAGAGGAGCUUGCUCCUUGGGUGGCGAGUGGCGGACGGGUGAGGAAUACAUCGGAGUCUACUCUGUCGUGGGGGAUAACGUAGGGAAACUUACGCUAAUACCGCAUACGACCUACGGGUGAAAGCAGGGGAUCUUCGGACCUUGCGCGAUUGAAUGAGCCGAUGUCGGUUUAGCUAGUUGGCGGGGUAAAGGCCCACCAAGGCGACGAUCCGUAGCUGGUCUGAGAGGAAGGUCAGCCACACUGGAAGUGAGACACGGUCGAGACUCCGACGGGAGGCAGCAGUGGAGAAUAUUGGGCGAUGGGCGAAAGCCUGAUCCAGCCAUACCGCGUGGGUGAAGAAGGCCUUCGGGUUGUAAAGCCCUUUUGUUGGGAAAGAAAUCCAUCUGGUUAAUACCCGGGUGGGAUGACGGUACCCAAAGAAUAAGCACCGGCUAACUUCGUGCCAGCCGCCGCCGUAA
rnacentral:rRNA from 1 species